UGCUGAACAGAGGCGCAGUAUCCUAGUCAGAUCUUCCGUUUCCUAAGAGGGGCCUAAAAAUCCCUUAAAGGGCACAACUGUGAAACCUCUGGUGCCUGCUUCUUACGCCCAGUUUGGGGUGGGUGCUGGACGGAAGGUGCGCUUUCGCGUGCCUGCGCUCGUAGGGCGCCCUCCAAUGGCAUGGAGGACCCGACCCUGCGGUCGUGGAGACCUGCUGUUGUGCGUCGGCGUACUCCCCUGGUGGUAAAGCGACCGGCGUACGAGGCAGAUGUAUGGAAACCUGCAUUGCGGUGCUACCCGGCUUUAAGCCGUGAACGCUGUGUGCAGAGUAGCCUGCCUUGCGUGGAGAAGGUGGAUAGGGGAGCUGAUGCUCGAGAUCCCUGGCCGGGGAAGCAGAGUGAUUCUCUUGAAACCCCAUCUGCAAAAGAGGAUAAGAAACGGUUCGACUGCGGUGGAAAUCACCUAGGCUGUCCCUUGUGGGGCAACGGAGGGAUUGCAGUGCGGACUAAGUGGCAGUCGGGUAUUGCGACGCGGUAACGGCGCAAAGCAGUGCUGAAAGGGAAACCGCCUCCAUCGGCGACGAGAGGUGCGCUGCGGGGAAAACCAACCCGUACCUAAGCCGUAAGAUUUACUUCCGCUGCUGCCC
rnacentral:sRNA from 1 species